rnacentral:lncRNA from 1 species
GAAAAUAGAAAUGCCUGAAGAUCAUAUCAAGUGCUCUGUUUGUAUUUACAGGUUGGACUGUAAUUUGUGAAGAUACUGGAUGACAGGUCUUUGUCUGCCUGGCUGUUAAAAAGACAAGGUUGGCAUUCAAAAGGUGUCUCAUCAGACCCAUCAGGCGGAUGGAUGGAAGCACCACUGGUCCAAGAACGUGGCCUCAGUGUGAUGAUUCAAGCAUUUGAGCACUCACUUUAUGCGAUACAUUUACACUGAGAUGGUGAAAGAGGAAGUCUGAGGUGAGCUUCUGAGGAAGACGGUUCUGCAAAGCUCACGUCUGGCCUCUCCUCUCCUGAACAG